UACGUAGGGUGCAAGCGUUGCCCGGAUUUAUUGGGCGUAAAGAGCUCGUAGGCGGCUUGUCGCGUCGACUGUGAAAUCCCGCGGCUCAACUGCGGGUCUGCAGUCGAUACGGGCAGGCUAGAGUUCGGUAGGGGAGACUGGAAUUCCUGGUGUAGCGGUGAAAUGCGCAGAGAUCGGAAAGAACACCAACGGCGAAAGCACUCUGCUGGGCCGACACUGACACUGAGAGACGAAAGCUAGGGGAGCGAAUGGG
rnacentral:rRNA from 1 species